UACGUAGGGAGCAAGCGUUGUUCGGAUUUACUGGGCGUAAAGGGCGCGUAGGCGGCGCGGUAAGUCACUUGUGAAAUCUCUGGGCUUAACCCAGAACGGCCAAGUGAAACUGUUGUGCUAGAGUGCAGAAGGGGCAAUCGGAAUUCUCGGUGGUAGCGGUGAAAUGCGUGAGAUAUCGAGAGGAACACCAGAGGUGAAGACGGGUUGCUGGGCUGACACUGACGCUGAGGCGCGAAAGCCAGGGGAGCAAACAGG
rnacentral:rRNA from 1 species